AACGAACGCUGGCGGCAGGCUUAACACAUGCAAGUCGAACGGACCCUUCGGGGUUAGUGGCAGACGGGUGAGUAACGCGUGGGAACCUACCUAUAAGUACGGAACAACACAGAGAAAUUUGUGCUAAUACCGUAUGUGCUCUUUUGAGUAAAGAUUUAUCGCUUAUAGAUGGGCCCGCGUUAGAUUAGCUAGUUGGUGAGGUAACGGCUCACCAAGGCGACGAUCUAUAGCUGGUCUGAGAGGAUGAUCAGCCACACUGGGACUGAGACACGGCCCAGACUCCUACGGGAGGCAGCAGUGAGGAAUAUUGGACAAUGGGGGCAACCCUGAUCCAGCCAUGCCGCGUGAGUGAUGACGGCCUUAGGGUUGUAAAGCUCUUUCAGUAGUGAAGAUAAUGACGGUAACUACAGAAGAAGCCCCGGCUAACUUCGUGCCAGCCGCCGCAGUAACAC
rnacentral:rRNA from 1 species